rnacentral:miRNA from 1 species
GCAGCCAGGCUGGGCUGGGCUGGGCUGGGCUGGGCUGGGCUGGGCUGGGCUGACCCCUCC